rnacentral:rRNA from 1 species
UGGGGAAUCUUGCGCAAUGGGCGAAAGCCUGACGCAGCGACGCCGCGUGAGCGAUGAAGGCCUUCGGGUUGUAAAGCUCUGUGGGGAGGGAAGAAUAAGCCUAGGCUAAUACCACUAGGUGAUGACGGUACCUCCUUAGCACGCACCGGCUAACUCUGUGCCAGCAGCCGCGGUAAGACAGAGGGUGCAAACGUUGUUCGGAAUUACUGGGCGUAAAGCGCGUGUAGGCGGCUAUGCAAGUCGGGCGUGAAAUCCCACGGCUCAACCGUGGAAGUGCACUCGAAACUGCGUAGCUAGAGUCCCGGAGAGGAAGGUGGAAUACUUGGUGUAGAGGUGAAAUUCGUAGAUAUCAAGUGGAACACCGGUGGCGAAGGCGGCCUUCUGGACGGUGACUGACGCUGAGACGCGAAAGCGUGGGGAGCAAAC